rnacentral:ncRNA from 1 species
UCUGUUCUAUCUUCUGUAAUUGGUAAGAUUGCUUGAACAGAACCUUUACCAAAUGUUUUUUCUCCAAUUACAAUUGCUCUUUUAUGAUCUUGUAAAGCUCCACUUACAAUUUCAGAAGCCGAAGCAGAACCACCAUUUACUAAGACAACCAUUGGAAGUCUUGAAAUAGUAUUUGAUACAGAUGCUUCAAAUUUUUCUUCAUCUUCAGCUUUUCGACCUUUUUGAGAAACAAUAACACCUUCAUCAACAAAAAGAUCAACCACACCAAUUGCUUGAGAAAGAAGUCCUCCUGGAUUAUUUCUUAA